AUGGACGUGGCGGGGGCGCAGGCGCGCGCGCUGCCGCUCCUCCUCGGCCGGACGGCCGCCUUCCUCCGGUGCUCCGUCUCGUUCUCCUGCGGCGGCGCGCGGCGGAGCUGGGCGUCCUCCGCCACGGCGGAUGGGGAGGACGGCGGCCAAGACUACGAGCGGGUGGCCAUGGACACCCCCGGCGCGUACUGGCUCGUGGACUGGAGCACCGGGAAGAGCGUCAUCGUGUGGGGCGGCGUCGAUGACGGCGAGGAGCCCGGCGUGCCGUCCUCGGCGGUCCUCUCCAGGGUCACCGCCGACCGCUCCGCCCCCAAAGGUGCAGCAAAUGGGGGGAAUAAUGCAGGUGUCGGGAGCUUCGGAAGACUGAAGGCCCGGAAAGUGCAGGCUUUAGCUAGGAGAUCAGCAGUCCGCACAAGCAUCGCACGGCGUACAGUCCGCACAAGCAUCGCACGGCGUAGUGAAUCUUCUUAUGCUGAUUCUGAUGAAGAUGGAAGCAAAUCUGGAAGAAGGAAGUUUGUCCCCGACCCAGCACGCCGCGCAAAACAAAAUGAUGACUCUAGGGAUGAGAGGAGCAGGGCCGUGCGUUCUCUGAAUUCUGUGCUGAGGCAAUACAAAGGCGACGAUGAUUCAGAUCUUUCUGAUGAGGAGGCUGCUUUUGGCCCCAAAGUUUGGGGUAAAGUUGCCGAUGCUACGUCUUAUAGAAGAGAGGAUCGGAAGCAGAAGGUCCCUUUGGACAGUGGGUUUUUCAGCCGCAGAUCUUUUAAGGAGAUUGGCUGCGGCGAUGAGAUUCUCGGUGCAUUGAGAACCUUCGGGUUUCCUCAACCAUCACACAUUCAGGCUAUGGCAUAUGGUCCUGUCUUGGAGGGGAGGAGUUGCAUUAUUGCUGAUCAGAGUGGGUCUGGCAAGACAUUGGCAUAUCUCUGCCCUAUAGUUCAAAAUUUAAGGAAGGAAGAAGCUAUCGGGAUCCACAAACCAUCUCCCAGGAACCCACGCGUCAUAAUAUUGACACCUACUGCUGAACUUUCUUCUCAGGUCCUUCAGAAUUGCCGUUCAAUAUCGAAAUCUGGGGUUCCCUUCAGGUCAAUGGUUGCGACCGGUGGAUUUCGACAGAAGCAACUGGAAAGCCUUGAUCAAGAGCUAGAUGUACUUAUAGCAACGCCUGGCCGUUUCUUGUAUCUGCUUUAG
rnacentral:rRNA from 1 species